AUGUCCACUUGCUGCUGGUACCUUUGGUGGGAGAGGAGAAAGCUUGUGCACAAUGAGCCGGUACAAGAUGCGAAGAGAGUUGCGCAAGCGGUAUGUGCUUUAGCUGCUAACUAUGCUAUUGCAUGUGACCCAAAGGCCUCGUUAAAGAGGGGAGGUUGGUGCAAACCCCCUAGUGGAUAUGUCAAGUUGAAUGUUGAUGCGGCCUUUGAUUGGGAUUUGCUUCAGGGGGCGAUGGGAGCAGUCAUCCGAGAUGAUAGAGGACAUAUGGUUGUAGCUGGAAACAAGCUCAUUGAUUCCUGUUAUGAUGUACUAACUGUUGAGGCAAUGGCUCUGAAGUUUGGGUUGAAUAUGGCGCUCACAGCUGGGUGCAAUAGACUGAUUGUCAACUCGGAUAAUAUGGAACUCAUGGAAAUAAUGAAUAAGGAUGGCCAAUAUGCUGGAGAUGCCGUGGCCAUUGUUGAUGAUUCCGCCCGCCUCCGUCUCUCCCCCGCACUCCAUCGCCUCGCCGCCGUUCCCCGCAACCUAUCGACCCAAUCUCACAUCACCCGACGGGACGGGACCUGGCGCCUCGUCCUCUCCAGAUCUUACGCCCGCCCGAGUCAUAGUACAAACUGGGCCAUAUUGGGCUCUGUGCUUUUACCCCUCUUGAUUGAUAACCCCUCUUGCCCUCCGUCCCUCCUAUAUCAUAAAAGCCGCCCGCACUCCAUCGCCUCACCUCGUCGCCGUUCCCCGCAACCCGCUAUCUGUCGACCCAAUCUCACAUCGAUCACCCGACGGGACCGUCCUCUCCAGAUCUUACGCCCGCCCGCCCGCCCGCCCGAGGUCUGGGAUCCAGCCAGCGUGGUCUCCCUCCGCCUCCGGAGUUGCUCGUUCCGAUUGUGGUUGGUAGGCGCGGCGCGGCGCCGUCUUGUAUCCUGCCCGGCUCUGGAUUUGGUUUCUCAAAUGGUCCUUCUUCGCCGCCAAAAGGAAAUGAUGCUCUACAAAAUCCACUCCCAUGCCCAAAUCCAAGACCUGCAGGCCCGCUCCGAUGAGCUGGGCCACUCCAAUGAGCACAUGGAUGUGAAGCUUUUCUCUCUGGAGUCGGUGCGCAUAGCGCUUGAGUCGUAUGCACUCCUCCGCCCGCUGAUCAUGGAGUCCAGGAUGUGGUUUUGCCCGGAGCUGGAAAUCCUCUCGGAGGAGGCUAAGCUGGAACCGGGCGCCCUGGAAGCCCUCCUACUCAUGAACAACUCAGCUGUUGCGCUCUUACAUAUGAGGAAGUGCUUUAAGGAAGCCUUGGGCUUUUUUCUUCGCGAGGAUUAUGUGGUCUCAGCCAAAGUCAAAAAGCUGAGCAAAAUGCUAAAGGAUAUUGCUGUCCCGUUGCUUCAGGAGCAUGAAUGCAACAUUGUCUGGCUUCAGGAGCGUGUCCCGUUGCGGGUCCAGCUGGUCACCGAUGUGUUGGAGACCCGGUUAAUUUCUGUGAUUCUGAUGAGUCUUCUGAUGAUGAGUCUUCUGAUGAGUAUUCUGAUGAGUAGACUUAUCAGCCAGCUCGAGGCUGUUGUGAUGAGUAUUUCUUAG
rnacentral:rRNA from 1 species